UUCUCUCUACCAUGUGCGUGAGGCUGAAAAGCCCAGGCGGAAUGCUCAAACAACGGGAGCCUUUUAGGCCGCGGUGUGCUGCCCCUCGCGGGAUUUGCCUGAAGCGGUACAAAGGAGCCCACUUUUAAGGGAACUCGCUGUGAGGCCCCUGAGCCAACGGCAUGGUGGAGAGAUA
rnacentral:other from 1 species